rnacentral:lncRNA from 7 species
ACUGCCUCUGCCUCCAGUUCGUCAUUGGUAUGCUCCAGCGCCCCAACGCCAUGGCAUCUACCUCUAGCUCGUCGCUGAAGUACUCCACUGCCCCCGUGCCUCAGCUCCUGCCUCCAGCGUGCCGACGCCUGCUCCAAUAUCCUGGUGCCCCGACCCCAGUGUCCACGUGCCACCACCCUGCUACAUUGCCCCGGCGCCCCAACCUCGACCUCCGCGCAUCACGACCGUCCCCUCCUCAGCCACCGUAGGUACACCAACUCUUGUCUUUCAUUAAUUAUUAGUUUCUUAAAUUACCAGUUUGUAAACACUAUUGUUCUUUCCUAUAAGAUUAGCAAAAUUUAGAAUAACAACUUAAAAUAAAUCCAUGUUGCAUCACUUUUCCUUUUCUUCCAUAAACUAAUUAUUAUAGCUAUAGUAUGCCUUCAUAAUCUACAUGUGAUUGUAUCUCAUGGAUUGAAAAUAUAUAUGAUUGUCGGCCAUCGCACUGUUGAUAUAUAUGUGCAUGUCAGCCAUCGUACUAUUAGUUUUAUUUGCAGGUUUUGAAAACAUCAACGUGCAGGGGAGGUGCUGUCAAUUUUUUUUGUAUUGACGGACUUGUGUUUAUUUUUUAUAGA